GUAGAUGUACUUGUGGUGUCCUCAUCAUUUGGAGCGGCCAGUUUUCAGCUUAGGAACUCGAGUGCUUAUCUCGAGUAUGUUUUGCCUGACUCUCAUGGUGACUAGAAAAAGAGAUGGUUUUAUAUUGGAAACCAUGAUCCUGUCUUACCAGUAGUCACUAGACACGCUCCAAAGCAUGUGGAGAAUUGGGUGAGCGAGCCUGAGGACACCCCUGAAAUUGCUAACUUGCUGACUCAGAUUGCUGAGUUGAGAUCGUUGGGCUUGACUAGCAUUAAUGUGGCCACCAGUUUUCUUAAGCAGAGAGUUCAGUCUUUGCAGCAGUGAGCUCGCUCGGGCUCGGAGUACUCGGGUUUUGAUGACCCAUCACGGAUGUUCUCUGAAGACAUAUCUGAUGAUGAUGUGGAGGCGUUGCUGGGGAAGUUUUUUAGGAACUAUCAGGGGGUACCAGUGCUUCCAGGAGUUCUUCGUUAGUUUGAUAGUUGGUAUGGGCCGGCAGAGUCCUGGGUUCUUUUCGGCUUCUUGCCGCAGUCUGAGGGAGGGGAGAUAGUCGUGGCUGACUCUGAUGAUGAACCUUCUCCUCCUGCUAAGAAACGACGAGUAGUCCGAAUGAAAGCUGUAGUGCAGCCUGUUUCGUCGUCGAGUUUGACCCCUGAGGGGUCGCAGAGUACCAAGGCCGACGACUCGACUGCGGGUGGCGAAGAGGCUACUUCUGGUGAGGUAGUCGCUAUUGGCAAGGAUGUUGUUGUCAGUGUCGCGGCUGUUGAAGGGUUACCGGUGGGGGUGCCGCUUGUAGACUCGGAAGCAGCCUUCGAGCCUAGCCCCGGCACCGUCAGUUAAACGAGUUGGCAGUCCCCGAACAGGUUAUCGUGGGUGCAUCUUCUGAGGUGACUGACGUCGCAAAGACACCGGUGAUUGCUGCUGGCGCUUUGUUAUCCGAUGUUAUCACCAGUGGACUUGGCGAGAAUAUCGUACCUCCGACUGACCCUGUGGUGCCGAGUACUCAACUGGCAGUCACUGAGAAGAAACAUGUGCGAUUGCCACCGUGGUCAUCUCGGGAUGCUGAGGAUACUAUCCCUGUGGAAACAGGAGCGGGGUCUGGUCUUCCGACUACACUUUCUGGUCCCUUAGUUGAUUUGACGAUGGAUGAACCACCUGAGGUUGAGGACACAAAUCGUCUUGGUGCCACUAUCUCCAUGCUUCAAGAAGUUAUCUACUCAGUGGAGAUCCAUGCGGUCCCUUCGAGUUCUGGAGGUGUGCCGUCUUCAAUGACUGUUGGUGGUACCUUGUGAUGAGGACACCACGAGUACAUCUACACCAGCAGCACCUCAGGCGCCUCCAGUUGCUCCUCCACC